rnacentral:tRNA from 1 species
GGGGGUGUAGCUCAGUGGUAGAGCGCUCGCUUUGCAUGCGAGAGGCCCGGGGUCUGAAACCCCGCUUCUCCA